AAAAUGAACUUUUUUAAUAUACUUUAUAAACCAAAUAAAAGACCCUCGUAUGUUGAUCAAUGCAAAUCCAAAAGUGAUAGAUCAACAUUAUGUAAAUUGAGGUUAAGUGCUCAUACUUUAUCUAUUGAAAGAGGGCGAUAUCUAAAAAUACCAAAGCAGAAUAGGGUAUGUCUUUGCUGUAACAAUGGAGACAUUGAAGAUGAACUUCACUUUCUUUUAAAAUGUUCCUCCUAUAAAUAUGUGAGAGAUAACCUUAUUAAAAAAUUAAAUAAUGUUCUAUUGAACAACAAAUUUUCUUCCUUAUCAUAUAACUUACUUAUAUCAAUUCUAAAUAGUAAUUCCCAAACAAUAUUAAAAAUUGUUGUCAACUAUUUGAAUGAAUGCUUGUUGGUGAGAAACUCAUUAUUAAAAGGUACUUGAUUUUUGUAAUAAUGUAUAUGCUUCUCAUUUAUUUUUUAUAUAUUUCUCUCAUAAUUAUCCACUGUCACUCCUUCAUUGUAUAUAUAUGUUAUUGUAGUUAGUCUUUAAUUUGUUGCCAUAACCAUUUAUUGUCAAUGUGUU
rnacentral:lncRNA from 1 species